rnacentral:sRNA from 1 species
UGUAAUAACUAUCUAGUGAUUAUCAUCGUCUUGAAUUAUUAUCUUGAACCCAAAAGUAAUAAUCGUGCUUUAAAGCACAUGGAGGAAUUUUCUUAUGAGUAACGGUACAGUAAAAUGGUUUAACGCAGACAAAGGUUUCGGUUUUAUCGAGGUUGAAGGUGGAGAAGAUGUAUUCGUACAUUUCUCAGCAAUUCAAGGCGACGGUUUCAAAUCAUUAGAUGAAGGCCAAGCAGUUUCUUUUGACAUUGAAGAAGGCAACCGUGGUCCACAAGCAGCAAAUGUAGAAAAAUUAUAAUUAAACAUUAAAAAGCUCUUCUCAUAUGAGAAG